UGCCGAAACCCGGGAUCGAACCAGGGACCUUUAGAUCUUCAGUUACCUAACACUCUCUACCCUGAGCUAUUGCCGGC